CAGCACCUCAAGUGGUCAGGAUGAUUAUUGGGCCUAAAGCAUCCGUAGCCGGCGCUGCAAGUUUUCGGUUAAAUCUGUACGCUCAACGUACAGGCUGCCGGGAAUACUGCAGCGCUAGGGAGUGGGAGAGGUAGACGGUACUCGGUAGGAAGGGGUAAAAUCCUUUGAUCUAUUGAUGACCACCUGUGGCGAAGGCGGUCUACCAGAACACGUCCGACGGUGAGGGAUGAAAGCUGGGGGAGCAAAACGGAUUAGAUACCCGAGUAGUCC
rnacentral:rRNA from 1 species